ensembl:snoRNA
GAGUGAUAUGAUGCUUAACCAUCUUUCGGGACUUACCCAAUAAUGGUGAUACCUUCUUCUCCCUGAUCACUC